rnacentral:rRNA from 1 species
GAUGAACGCUGGCGGCGUGCCUAAUACAUGCAAGUCGAGCGAACGGACGAGAAGCUUGCUUCUCUGAUGUUAGCGGCGGACGGGUGAGUAACACGUGGAUAACCUACCUAUAAGACUGGGAUAACUUCGGGAAACCGGAGCUAAUACCGGAUAAUAUUUUGAACCGCAUGGCUCAAAAGUGAAAGACGGUCUUGCUGUCACUUAUAGAUGGAUCCGCGCUGCAUUAGCUAGUUGGUAAGGUAACGGCUUACCAAGGCAACGAUGCAUAGCCGACCUGAGAGGGUGAUCGGCCGCACUGGAACUGAGACACGGUCCAGACUCCUACGGGAGGCAGCAGUAGGGAAUCUUCCGCAAUGGGCGAAAGCCUGACGGAGCAACGCCGCGUGAGUGAUGAAGGUCUUCGGAUCGUAAAACUCUGUUAUUAGGGAAGAACAUAUGUGUAAGUAACUGUGCACAUCUUGACGGUACCUAAUCAGAAAGCCACGGCUAACUACGUG